GCUUCCUUGGCUCAGUUGGUUAGAGCGCAGGUCUCAUAGUCUAUAUGAGUAACGACAAGUUACGUAAUCCUGAGGUCAUGAGUUCGAACCUCAUAGGGAGCA
rfam:Hebeloma cylindrosporum h7 unplaced genomic scaffold scaffold_2, whole genome shotgun sequence.